rnacentral:rRNA from 1 species
CCGCCGGGGGCUCUCAGCCCCGGGCCCGCGCCCGCCGGAGACACCACGAACUCUGUCUGAUCUAGUGAAGUCUGAGUUGAUUGUAUCGCAAUCAGUUAAAACUUUCAACAAUGGAUCUCUUGGUUCCGGCAUCGAUGAAGAACGCAGCGAAAUGCGAUAACUAGUGUGAAUUGCAGAAUUCCGUGAAUCAUCGAGUCUUUGAACGCACAUUGCGCCCCCUGGUAUUCCGGGGGGCAUGCCUGUCCGAGCGUCAUUGCUGCCCAUCAAGCACGGCUUGUGUGUUGGGUCGUCGUCCCCUCUCCGGGGGGGACGGGCCCCAAAGGCAGCGGCGGCACCGCGUCCGAUCCUCGAGCGUAUGGGGCUUUGUCACCCGCUCUGUAGGCCCGGCCGGCGCUUGCCGAACGCAAAUCAAUCUUUUUCCAGGUUGACCUCGGAUCAGGUAGGGAUACCCGCUGAACUUAAGCAUAUCAA